UAAUACCCGCUCCGCGAGUGGUAGGGACGAUUAUUGGGCUUAAAGCAUCCGUAGCCGGUUCGGUAAGUCCCUCGUUAAAUCCGGCGGCUCAACCGCUGGGCCGCGAGGGAUACUACCGGACUAGGGGGCGGGAGAGGCCGGCGGUAUUCCCGGGGUAAGGGUGAAAUCUAAUAAUCCCGGGAGGACCAACAGUGGCGAAGGCGGCCGGCUAGAACGCGCCCGACGGUGAGGGAUGAAAGCUGGGGGAGCGAACCGGAUUAGAGACCCGAGUAGUCCCAGCCGUAAACGAUGCGGACUAAAAUGUUGGGGCAGCUUAGGGCUGCCCCAGUGUUGCAGGGAAACCGCUAAGUCCGCCGCCUGGGAAGUACGGCCGCAAGGCUG
rnacentral:rRNA from 1 species